rnacentral:rRNA from 1 species
AUUGAACGCUGGCGGCAUGCUUUACACAUGCAAGUCGAACGGUAACAGGCCGCAAGGUGCUGACGAGUGGCGCACGGGUGAGUAAUGCAUCGGAACGUGCCCAGCCGUGGGGGAUAACUACUCGAAAGAGUAGCUAAUACCGCAUACGAUCUAUGGAUGAAAGCGGGGGACCGUAAGGCCUCGCGCGAUUGGAGCGGCCGAUGUCAGAUUAGGUAGUUGGUGGGGUAAAGGCUCGCCAAGCCAACGAUCUGUAGCUGGUCUGAGAGGACGACCAGCCACACUGGGACUGAGACACGGCCCAGACUCCUACGGGAGGCAGCAGUGGGGAAUUUUGGACAAUGGGCGCAAGCCUGAUCCAGCAAUGCCGCGUGCAGGAAGAAGGCCUUCGGGUUGUAAACUGCUUUUGUACGGAACGAAACGGCUCUGGUUAAUACCCGGGGCUAAUGACGGUACCGUAAGAAUAAGCACCGGCUAACUACGUG